AAAUAAGAAACAAAAAAGAAUAAUGUUUAUUUGAGACAUUAAUUACACAGUUUAUACAAAAUAUGAGCAAUAUUCCACUCUUAACACAAGCUGAAUGGCCUACUUGUUCGAGGUGUUGCACUGAUGUACAAGACGAUAUUGCCCACAUUUUGUAUAAACUGUGGACUUAAUGCCUCAAAUAAACAUUUUUCUUUUUUCUUUCUUAUUUAUAUGGACCCCUCAGUCACAAACCUGAGCGGCUGAGCCACCAGAUGCCCUAAUGACCAUCAAGUGACCAUCUAUAAUAGAAAUACGCACAUACCUACUGUUAGAUAUUCUAGAUGCAUAAAAGAAACUAAUGGGAUAAAUGCCGUUAUACCAUAAAAAACGAGAAACCGGAAGCGUUGGUAUCCUUAUGAGGUCAACAUCCAGUUUCCUCGCACGAAACGUUUUUGUUCAACGCUCUGAUACGAAGCUAAACUCUGGAACGCCCAGCCUUUCCGGCGUCCAUGUUUCCUGUCACUUGUAACUUAAAUCUACUCAUUUAUUUCCAUACGGCAUGAUUGUCAUCAAGCGCAAAAUGUUAAUGAAAACUUUACAGUUUACUUCGACUGAAUAAACGAAACUGUGUCAAUCAA